CAUUUUUCUGGUUAAGUGUGGUGGUAUUAGAAGUUUAGAGGUGAAAUCCUCUAGGAGUUCACAAAGGAGUGCAAAGAUCAAGGCUUUCUCACUUGCUGUUGAUUUGGAUUGAACGGAGCAAAUGGCUGAAGGUUUUAUUCCGCGAGGAAUCCUCUUUAGACUAGAAUCUGUUCACGCAGUCCGUAAUGGACAUUGUUUCGAGGACCUCACUGUGAGAGGAAAUAGACAGACGGGAGGUAUCGUCUUCACCUAUGCAUCAGCUGCUACAGGUACCUCGUCAUCGCCGGAGGGACAAAUGAUUCAAGAAUUCAGACUUCCUUUUAGUUUCUUUGGGUUGGCAUCACCAGACAGAGGUGGAAGAGAAAUUACAGAAAAAGAUAUUGAGGAAGCGAUUCGUACUAUGCCCCGCUCCUUAUAUGUUCCCUAGCUAGCUCUCAGAGAAUCCCCGGAGGAUCUUUACAUAGUAGAUGUUUUGGGUGUUUAAUCAUCACAUGAUCAACCCAGGGACUAGUAGUGAGUAUCUGUAUUUUCUAUUUUCCUUUCAUAUCUAUUUGUAUUUGUUUAUGGGUACACCUCAAGUGUUACAAACUAUUUUUUUUUUUAAGAUACUCAUUUUUUCAAAAAACAAAUUAGUCAAGAUUUUAAAAUUAAAACAAAAACAUUUGAUAUGUUUUAUAGUGGUCUUAUAGCAAUAUUAGUGGGUCGUUCUCGUU